CCAGCGCCAUCUUGGAUUUUAUCUUCCAAGCGGCUGCCUACACUAAAACAAACAAACAAACAAACCUGCAGGGCUAGGGAUGUAGCUCAGUUCUGGAGCAUGGGCCAAGCACAAGGAAUUUUUAUGUAUCCCUUCUGGCCUGAGGAUGGCCUCAAACUUGGACUGAAUUCUGCCUCUCCCUCAAGAGAGCUGGGAUUAUACAUGCACCACCACAGCUGGCUAGUCCACUGGCCUAGAAGAUACGUGCUGGAGGCCUCAGAGUGAGGCACAGAAUGAUUGAAUAGCCCACCUAGUCACUGAUUUGAACUUCAACCAUGAGUUGAACUCAGUCAAAUUAACAAUCUGAGCUAUACAAAUUUCACUUACGACUAGAGCAA